ACCGAGGUCUAUCCCCAUAAGGCUUUCCUGUAGACCCACGUCACUGAAAAUGCCUCAUUGAGUAAUGAGGUGGUUUUACUUUCCUAACAGAAUUAAUUUUUAGGUCUGUGGGAAAGAACUAUAAGACACAG
rnacentral:snoRNA from 1 species